rnacentral:rRNA from 1 species
GCUCAGUAACACGUGGAGAACGUGCCCUUAAGUGGGGGAUAAUCUCGGGAAAUUGAGGAUAAUACCCCAUAGAUCAUGGCAUCUGGAAUGAGUCAUGGUUGAAAGUUCCGGCGCUUAAGGAUCGCUCUGCGGCCUAUCAGGUAGUAGUGGGUGUAACGUACCCCCUAGCCUACGACGGGUAUGGGCCUUGAGAGAGGGAGCCCAGAGUUGGAUUCUGAGACACGAAUCCAGGCCCUACGGGGCGCAGCAGUCGCGAAAACUUCACACUGGGGGCAACCCCGAUGAGGGAAAUCCUAGUGCUAGGACAUUUGUUCUAGCUUUUCUCAAGCGUAGAUAACUUGAGGAAUAAGGGCUGGGUAAGACGGGUGCCAGCCGCCGCGGUAAUACCUGCAGCCCAAGUGGUGGUCGAUUUUAUUGAGUCUAAAACGUUCGUAGCCGGUUUGGUAAAUCUUUGGGUAAAUCGGGAGGCUCAACUUUCCGACUUCCGAGGAGACUGGCGGACUUGGGACCGGGAGAGGCCAGAGGUACUUCUGGGGUAGGGGUAAAAUCCUGUAAUCCUAGAAGGACCACCGGUGGCGAAGGCGUCUGGCUAGAACGGAUCCGACGGUGAGGGACGAAGCCCUGGGUCGCAAACGGGAUUAGAUACCCCGGUAGUCCAGGGUGUAAACGCUGCCGACUUGGUGUUGGGGGCCCUUCGGGGGAACUCAGUGCCGGAGAGAAGUUGUUAAGUCGGCCACUUGGGGAGUACGUCCGCAAGGAUGAAACUUAAAGGAAUUGGCGGGGGAGCAC